GUCUUUGACCUGGUCAACGGUGGACCUCAUUUAGGUCUUCGCUUGUUCCAAAAGUUCGAUAACUUCCGAAUCCUGGUGUGCGGUGGAGAUGGAAGCGUCGGUUGGGUCCUGUCUGAAAUCGAUAAACUAAAUCUUCACAAACAGUGCCAGCUGGGCGUUCUGCCGCUGGGCACCGGGAAUGACCUGGCGCGGGUGCUCGGCUGGGGGCCGUCGUGUGACGAUGACACUCAACUCCCUCAGAUACUGGAGAAG